GGGGGAAAUGACACACAGUAUGAGAUUUCAGCUCCAUUAUAAACCUUAAAAUAAAUAAAUAAAUAAAAUAAAAAAUGUAAAACAUUUUUCUAUUGAUUUCAGAUGCUCCCAAGAACACAAGGUAUUGGGACUAUUUAUAAAAAGGGCAGUACUUUAUACAUCGGAUCAUCUGAUGGAUGUGAAUGCCCCCAAAUUUUUCAAUCUGCUGGAGUACAAAACAAAAACAACAAAAAUUGUAUCACUGUCCUGAUACUUUUCCAACUUAUAUCAAUGUAUUCACACGGAGAUAAAAUAAACAUUAUAUAUUCAAACUUUAUGUCUAGUGCCAUCCUGGAGCAGAGCACAGCACUACUGCUUGGCUCAGAACACUCAUGGAGCUCAGACCUCUACUCCUGUGUCAGACAAUAUAAAAGCAGGAGAUAACACAGUGCUCAUAUGGAUGGUUGUUGGAAUCUCUGUGGCUAUUGCACUCUUUGCUAUCAUGGUGUGCACAAGCAGGAAGAAGAGCACCAACAGAGAGAGGGGGAGGAGCAGACGCUCUCGUACUAGCAGAGCCUUUAGAGAGUGACAAACGCAGCCAGCGACACAAACUCUGUGCUUCAGAGAGCUGAC